GUGGGGAAUAUUGGACAAUGGGCGCAAGCCUGAUCCAGCCAUGCCGCGUGAGUGAUGAAGGCCUUAGGGUUGUAAAGCUCUUUUAUCCGGGACGAUAAUGACGGUACCGGAAGAAUAAGCCCCGGCUAACUUCGUGCCAGCAGCCGCGGUAAUACGAAGGGGGCUAGCGUUGCUCGGAAUCACUGGGCGUAAAGGGCGCGUAGGCGGACAUUUAAGUCAGGGGUGAAAUCCCGGGGCUCAACCUCGGAAUUGCCUUUGAUACUGGGUGUCUCGAGACCGGAAGAGGUAAGUGGAACUGCGAGUGUAGAGGUGAAAUUCGUAGAUAUUCGCAAGAACACCAGUGGCGAAGGCGGCUUACUGGUCCGGUUCUGACGCUGAGGCGCGAAAGCGUGGGGAGCAAACAGGAUUAGAUACCCUAGUAGUCC
rnacentral:rRNA from 1 species